AAAAAGGGGAAAAAAAAGUAAAGUGGGAAACGGGCGAAUCAACGGCUCACUGUAAAGGAAAAACCUGGACUGACAUUGAUUCACAGAAAGCCAACAACGAGCUAUUGAAAAAAUGGGAUCAGGAAACGACAACAAAUUACAUUAAAGCCCGAGUUUAUGGUUAUAAAGUCAGUGAUGCUGAUCUCAUGUCUCUAAAAAGUCUAAGUGGUUGACAGAUCAGGUACUUGAUGCAUACCUGUCAUAUCUAGCUCAGAAAGAGUGGGAUAAGGGGAAAAAAGUAAAGCAUAUGGGUGUAUCCAAGAUGACCAGUAUCAUCAAUGAUCAUGUUCAGUCUUCAGAAAAAGAGGUUUUUAAAAUAAUCUUAAUCUAAUUUCUUUUGUGCAAAACAUUGCAAAAAUGAGCAAUUUUAUGUUUGAGUUUUAUAAGUAAAUAAUAAGAGAGUCAUCAUUUCAAAGCUCAUUGAUUUUAAGCAUUUGUAAUGAAUUGUUUUAUAAAGUUAAAUGAUGUAUGUAUGCCUCAUCAUACUUCAGUGUCGUGUCAUGGAAUAUGACUCCAUCAUUGGUGUGUAUCAUCAAAGAGGACAUUGGGAUCUAGUGGCAAGUUUUCAAAUUCAUUCACAAGAAAUUUCAAAUCAAACUUUACUGAUAUUG